rnacentral:misc_RNA from 1 species
UCCCUCAGGCACAGCAGGCGUGGA